UAAAAACCCCGACUUCGGAAGGGGUGUAUUUAUUAGAUACAAAACCAAUGCCCUUCGGGGCUCUUUGGUGAUUCAUGAUAACUAUACGAAUCGCACGGCCUUGCGCCGGCGAUGGUUCAUUCAAAUUUCUUCCCUAUCAACUUUCGAUGUUUGGGUAUUGGCCAAACAUGGUUGCAACGGGUAACGGAGGGUUAGGGCUCGACCCCGGAGAAGGAGCCUGAGAAACGGCUACUACAUCCAAGGAAGGCAGCAGGCGCGCAAAUUACCCAAUCCCGACUCGGGGAGGUAGUGACAAUAAAUACUGAUACAGGGCCCUUUCGGGCCUUGUAAUUGGGAUGAGUACAAUUUAAAUCCCUUAACGGGGAACAAUUGGAGGGCAAGUCUGGUGCCAGCAGCCGCGGUAAUUCCAGCUCCAAUAGCGUAUAUUAAAGUUGUUGUGGUUAAAAAGCUCGUAGUUGAACCUUGGGCCUGGCCGGCCGGUCCGCCUCACCGCGUGCACUGGUCCGGCCGGGCCUUUCCCUCUGUGGAACCCCAUACCCUUCACUGGGCGUGGCGGGGAAACAGGACAUUUACUUU
rnacentral:rRNA from 1 species